GAUGAACGCUGGCGGCGUGCCUAAUACAUGCAAGUCGAGCGAACGGACGAGAAGCUUGCUUCUCUGAUGUUAGCGGCGGACGGGUGAGUAACACGUGGAUAACCUACCUAUAAGACUGGGAUAACUUCGGGAAACCGGAGCUAAUACCAGAUAAUAUUUUGAACCGCAUGGUUCAAAAGUGAAAGACGGUCUUGCUGUCACUUAUAGAUGGAUCCGCGCUGCAUUAGCUAGUUGGUAAGGUAACGGCUUACCAAGGCAACGAUGCAUAGCCGACCUGAGAGGGUGAUCGGCCACACUGGAACUGAGACACGGUCCAGACUCCUACGGGAGGCAGCAGUAGGGAAUCUUCCGCAAAGGGCGAAAGCCUGACGGAGCAACGCCGCGUGAGUGAUGAAGGUCUUCGGAUCGUAAAACUCUGUUAUUAGGGAAGAACAUAUGUGUAAGUAACUGUGCACAUCUUGACGGUACCUAAUCAGAAAGCCACGGCUAACUACGUG
rnacentral:rRNA from 1 species